GAAUCCCGUCUUUGACACGGACUGCCUGUACAUUAUGGUGUGCUCUCGAAGAGUCGAGUUGUUUGGGAAUGCAGCUCAAAAUGGGUGGUAAAUGCCAUCUAAAGCUAAAUAUUGGCGAGAGACCGAUAGCGAACAAGUACCGUGAGGGAAAGAUGAAAAGAACUUUGGAAAGAGAGUUAAACAGUACGUGAAAUUGCUGAAAGGGAAACGCUUGAAGUCAGUCGCGUUGGCUAGAAAUCAACCUUGCUUUUGCUUUGUGUACUUUCUGGUUGACGGGUCAGCAUCAAUUUUGACCACUGGAUAAAGUCUUUGGGAAUGUGGCAUCUCCGGAUGUGUUAUAGCCCAUUGUCGCAUACGGUGGUUGGGAUUGAGGAACUCAGCACGCCGCAAGGCCGGGUUUCGACCACGUUCGUGCUUAGGAUGCUGGCAUAAUGGCUUUAAUCGACCCGUCUUGAAACACGGACCAAGGAGUCUAACAUGCCUGCGAGUGUUUGGGUGGAAAAACCCAUGCGCGCAAUGAAAGUGAAAGUUGAGAUCCUCUUCAAAGGGGGAGCAUUGACGCCCGGACCAGACCUUUUGUGACGGAUCCGCGGUAGAGCAUGCAUGUUGGGACCCGAAAGAUGGUGAACUAUGCCUGAAUAGGGUGAAGCCAGAGGAAACUCUGGUGGAGGCUCGUAGCGAUUCUGACGUGCAAAUCGAUCGUCAAAUUUGGGUAUAGGGGCGAAAGACUAAUCGAACCAUCUAGUAGCUGGUUCCUGCC
rnacentral:rRNA from 1 species